GACGAACACUGGCGGCGUGCCUAAUACAUGCAAGUCGACCUUAGUGGCGAACGGGUGAGUAACACGUGGGUAACCUGCCCAUCAGAAGGGGGUAACACUUGGAAACAGGUGCUAAUCCCGUAUAUGGAUGGAUGGACCCGCGGGGCAUUAGCUAGGUGGUGGGGUAACGGCUCACCAAGGCCACGAGGCAUAGCUGACCGGAGAGGGGGAUCGGCCACACUGGGACUGAGACACGGCCCAAACUCCUACGGGAGGCAGCAGUGGGGAAGCUGCGGCAAUGGACGAAAGUCUGACCGAGCAACGCCGCGUGAGUGAAGAAGGUUUUCGGAUCGUAAAACUCUGGUGUUAGAGAAGCGUUAUCUAACCAGAAAGCCACGGCUAACUACGUGCCAGCCGCCGCGGUAAUAC
rnacentral:rRNA from 1 species